GACGAACGCUGGCGGCGUGCCUAAUACAUACAAGUUGAGCGCUGAAGGUUGGUACUUGUACCAACUGGAUGAGCAGCGAACGGGUGAGUAACGCGUGGGGAAUCUGCCUUUGAGCGGGGGACAACAUUUGGAAACGAAUGCUAAUACCGCAUAAAAACUUUAAACACAAGUUUUAAGUUUGAAAGAUGCAAUUGCAUCACUCAAAGAUGAUCCCGCGUUGUAUUAGCUAGUUGGUGAGGUAAAGGCUCACCAAGGCGAUGAUACAUAGCCGACCUGAGAGGGUGAUCGGCCACAUUGGGACUGGGACACGGCCCAAACUCCUACGGGAGGCAGCAGUAGGGAAUCUUCGGCAAUGGACGAAAGUCUGACCGAGCAACGCCGCGUGAGUGAAGAAGGUUUUCGGAUCGUAAAACUCUGUUGGUAGAGAAGAACGUUGGUGAGAGUGGAAAGCUCAUCAAGUGACGGUAACUACCCAGAAAGGGACGGCUAACUACGUG
rnacentral:rRNA from 1 species